rnacentral:rRNA from 1 species
ACGCUGGCGGCAGGCUUAACACAUGCAAGUCGAACGGUAACAGGAAUUAGCUUGCUAAUUUGCUGACGAGUGGCGGACGGGUGAGUAAUGCUUGGGAAUCUGGCUUAUGGAGGGGGAUAACUACGGGAAACUGUAGCUAAUACCGCGUAAAAUCUUCGGAUUAAAGGGUGGGACUUUCGAGCCACCUGCCAUAAGAUGAGCCCAAGUGGGAUUAGGUAGUUGGUUAGGUAAAGGCUGACCAAGCCGACGAUCUCUAGCUGGUCUGAGAGGAUGACCAGCCACACUGGAACUGAGACACGGUCCAGACUCCUACGGGAGGCAGCAGUGGGGAAUAUUGCACAAUGGGGGGAACCCUGAUGCAGCCAUGCCGCGUGAAUGAAGAAGGCCUUCGGGUUGUAAAGUUCUUUCGGUGACGAGGAAGGUUGAUAGGUUAAUAGCCUAUCAAAUUGACGUUAAUCACAGAAGAAGCACCGGCUAACUCCGUGCCAGCAGCCGCGGUAAUACGGGGGGUGCGAGCGUUAAUCGGAAUAACUGGGCGUAAAGGGCACGCAGGCGGUGACUUAAGUGAGAUGUGAAAGCCCCGAGCUUAACUUGGGAAUUGCAUUUCAUACUGGGUCGCUAGAGUACUUUAGGGAGGGGUAGAAUUCCACGUGUAGCGGUGAAAUGCGUAGAGAUGUGGAGGAAUACCGAAGGCGAAGGCAGCCCCUUGGGAAUGUACUGUCGCUCAUGUGCGAAAGCGUGGGGAGCAAACAGGAUUAGAUACCCUGGUAGUCCACGCUGUAAACGAUGUCGAUUUGGGGAUUGGGCUUUGAGCUUGGUGCCCGUAGCUAACGUGAUAAAUCGACCGCCUGGGGAGUACGGCCGCAAGGUUAAAACUCAAAUGAAUUGACGGGGGCCCGCACAAGCGGUGGAGCAUGU